UGGGGAAUAUUGCACAAUGGGCGAAAGCCUGAUGCAGCAACGCCGCGUGAGGGAUGACGGCCUUCGGGUUGUAAACCUCUUUUAGUAGGGAAGAAGCGAAAGUGACGGUACCUGCAGAAAAAGCACCGGCUAACUACGUGCCAGCAGCCGCGGUAAUCCGUAGGGUGCAAGCGUUGUCCGGAAUUAUUGGGCGUAAAGAGCUCGUAGGCGGUUUGUCGCGUCUGCUGUGAAAUCCCGAGGCUCAACCUCGGGUCUGCAGUGGGUACGGGCAGACUAGAGUGUGGUAGGGGAGAUUGGAAUUCCUGGUGUAGCGGUGGAAUGCGCAGAUAUCAGGAGGAACACCGAUGGCGAAGGCAGAUCUCUGGGCCAUUACUGACGCUGAGGAGCGAAAGCAUGGGGAGCGAACA
rnacentral:rRNA from 1 species